GUCAGAACCUGCAGGAAUCCCAGGCUGAGGUCCAAGAGUAUUAACAGAGGGCCCAGCCUGGUUGAAGUGAGUCAACUGCUCCUUCUGAAUGUUAGUGGCUGCUUCAGCUGCCCUCUGCCGCUUGGGCCCGUCGGUUGCCAGGACUGAGUGGCCCCUGGAAAUUGCUGGGAAGACCAGCAUGUCCUGGGGAUGGGGUCAAGAGCCAGCCCAGGGUACCAGGCUGGGAAGGGGCUCCCAAUGCCACCUUCUUCUCCUCUAUGGGAGCCGAGGCUUAGGCCCGGGGAACGGUGGUACCCCAUGUAAGGAAGGGCGGGUCUGGCUUACUGUAACUGCCUGGCUAAAAGCCUGAUUGUCCUGUGGUUGGGCAGGCCAGCCAGAGAGGGGCCCUGGUGGAGGGAGAGCUCGCGGAGUGUGUGAGAGGUGGAGGCCGGCAUCACCGCUUUCCCAGGGAGAGUUAGUGGGCCAGGUGUGGCUGCCAGGAAGGUCACCAUUUCUCCCCUAAGUGGGUCAGGGCACUACUUAAGUGUCAGAUUAUUUGCAAGAAAUAGUCUGUCCACGGAUCAGCCCCUUCGCAGGGGUGUCAGAGCCUCCAGUGUUCACCAGUGCUCACUAUGUCCUGGGCAACAUGGGUGUUGCUCACUGAUCAAUGACCUUAGGAAGUGGGAGCUAUUAUUGUCCCCAUUGUACAGAUGGGGAGCAAUUCAGAGACCUGCCCUGGUCUCCUAACUUGGAGGAGGCAAACUGAACUGGAGAUGAAAACCCAGGCUCCUAAUUGCCACUCCUUCUGGCCUCCUCAGUGUGGGAACCAGUGUGGCCCAGAAGAAGAGCAGCGAGCGAGGGGAGAGCUGACCCACCUGACUGCCAGGUGCCUGAGCCCCUCCCCCAGGCGCGCUGUUUGCUCGGUACUCAGCUGACUUCCUGUCCCUGGAAGAGCAGCUGCGGGUGUGCUGGGGUAGGGCGCUCUCCUUCCUGUGGUUCAGAGUUCACAGUCCAGUUUGGAAGAAACCGGCCGCCUCCAAAGAAGAGGUGGAAUUCCAAGCGGGGGAAGGGCCCGAGGGGCCUGUGGGAUGACCACAAUGUGAAAUGGGCUCACAGGUGAGCCCAGGUGUGAAGCAUAUGGCUGACAGGUGAGGAGACCACCUUGGUGGGAGGAAGCCAGUUUCCCGGCGUGGGGUGGAGCAGGUGGGGCCGCUGAAGAAGAUGAGCUCUCCACCAGGGUGACCGUCUGAGGAGUGUUAGAACUGGCUUACGGGAAGGUACCCCAGGAACCAGUGUGCAUCCCAUGGGCAAGGGCUGUGUGUGUGACGAAGGUGGUAUUUUUAGAAGAUGAGCGCGGCAUGGGUGUGCCCAAUGGGGACACACACAGACUUCUUAAAGUUCCCCGAAGUUUUUUUUUCCUCUUGUUUGGCCAUUUCCCUGUUUCUGAUCAUCAGACUGCCCCUCUCUCCCACGCCUGACGAGGGAACACCUGCUGUUUCCUAUCUCGGGAGUCACCUCUUCUGGGAAACCACGACUGGAAGCCUCUUGAAGUCUGAGUGUUUCCUGGUCGGCAAUGAUCUCUCCACCAUUGGACACAGUGCCCAGAACAGGGUUCCCACCGGCAUUGGUAUCACCUGAAGCACUGGUCAGGAAAGCAUCAAGUGCCAAUGCACCCUAAAGCUCAGAAGCACUGCAGCCCCCCUCCCACAACAUCAGGGGACCUCAUCCACAAAGAUCAUACUGUGCAGAGCGCCCCCUGUGGUUGUGUAGACUUGGCCUCCUGGAGGACCCUGUCCUUAUGUGUUUUACAUUUCACAUCUACACCUUCAUCAUCCUGUACAUUUUGGAUACCAAAGAGCGUUUUCUGUAUGAAAAGAUUUGAGAUUUGGGGGGAGGGGAGGUGAAAGAGAGGAAACACAUUAUCUUGUGUAAUGUA